CCUACGGGUGGCAGCAGUAAGGAAUAUUGGUCAAUGGACGCAAGUCUGAACCAGCCAUGCCGCGUGGAGGAUGAAGGCCCUUGGGUUGUACUCUUUAGAACACUUCGUAGCGGUACCAGAUGAAUAAGCACCGGCUAACUCCGUGCCAGCAGCCGCGGUAAUACGGAGGGUGCAAGCGUUAUCCGGAUUCACUGGGUUUAAAGGGUGCGUAGGUGGGCAGGUAAGUCAGUGGUGAAAUCUCUAAGCUUAACUUAGAAACUGCCGUUGAUACUAUCUGUCUUGAAUAUCGUGGAGGUGAGCGGAAUAUGUCAUGUAGCGGUGAAAUGCUUAGAUAUGACAUAGAACACCAAUUGCGAAGGCAGCUCGCUACCGUUAUUGACACUGAGGCACGAAAGCGUGGGGAUCAAACAGGAUUAGAUACCCUAGUAGUC
rnacentral:rRNA from 1 species